GACGAACGCUGGCGGCGUGCUUAACACAUGCAAGUCGAACGGAAAGGCCCUGCUUUUGUGGGGUGCUCGAGUGGCGAACGGGUGAGUAACACGUGAGUAACCUGCCCUUGACUUUGGGAUAACUUCAGGAAACUGGGGCUAAUACCGGAUAGGAGCUCCUGCUGCAUGGUGGGGGUUGGAAAGUUUCGGCGGUUGGGGAUGGACUCGCGGCUUAUCAGCUUGUUGGUGGGGUAGUGGCUUACCAAGGCUUUGACGGGUAGCCGGCUUGAGAGGGUGACCGGCCACAUUGGGACUGAGAUACGGUCCAGACUCCUCCGGGAGGCAGCAGUGGGGAAUAGUGCACAAUGGGCGGAAGCCUGAUGCAGCAACGCCGCGUGCGGGAUGACGGCCUUCGGGUUGUAAACCGCUUUCGCCUGUGACGAAGCGUGAGUGACGGUAAUGGGUAAAGAAGCACCGGCUAACUACGUG
rnacentral:rRNA from 1 species